rnacentral:rRNA from 1 species
UGUAGGCGGUUCUCUAAGUUUGGUGUGAAAUCUCCCGGCUCAACUGGGAGGGUGCGCCGAAAACUGGGGAGCUAGAGUGCGGGAUGGGUAAGUGGAAUUCCUGGUGUAGCGGUGAAAUGCGUAGAUAUCAGGAGGAACACCUGUGGUGUAGACGGCUUACUGGACCGCAACUGACGCUGAGACACGAAAGCGUGGGUAGCAAACA